GUUUCACUUUAAAGAACAAGAUGUUAAAGUUUGUGAUAAAAUUGUCAUCAGAAAUACUGUCCACUUCAGUAUUUACAUAGGAAAAUAUUGGAGGAUGAAGCUCUACCUACUGCCUCAGGUUAAUUUAAAUUCUGAAUUGCAACAACAGCAACAAGCAAGAAGGGCGCCAUUAAAUGAAUAUUAUACACAUAAAGCAACAACACAAUAAAAAACCAAAAUAUGAACACCAGCAACUAAAACAGGAACCAUUAAAUGAAUAUUACACACAGCAAUAACAGCAUCAAAUAAUGGAAAUAAUGGACCCUACUGCUCAAAUCAAAAACAAAAUUUCAUCAUUACCACUUUAUUGGUUAUAUCAAUAAAAGAAAUUAUUGAGUUUAUGAGUCUAGAUCCUACAAGCAAGCAGAUCUAUCACAUAAUUUAAAAUGAAGAUUUAUCUAUUAUAGUAAUUUAUUCUAAUAAU